rnacentral:misc_RNA from 1 species
UCCGGUUUAACACCGGCGGUCUCCUUAGAGUGCCCAACUAAAUGAUGGCAACUAAGGACAAGGGUUGCGCUCGUUAAGGGACUUAACCCGACAUCUCACGAUACGAGCUGACGACAGCCAUGCAGCACCUGUCUCUCUGCUCCCGAAGGAGAAACUCUAUCUCUAGAGCUGUCAGAGGAUGUCAAACCCAGGUAAGGUUCUUCGCGUUGCAUCGAAUUAAACCACAUGCUCCACCGCUUGUGCGGGCCCCCGUCAAUUCCUUUGAGUUUUAACCUUGCGGCCGUACUUCCCAGGCGGGGUACUUAAUGCGUUAGCUGCGGCACUGCAGGGGUCAAUUCCUACAACACCUAGUACCCAUCGUUUACAGCGUGGACUAC